AACGAACGCUGGCGGCAGGCUUAACACAUGCAAGUCGAGCGCCCCGCAAGGGGAGCGGCAGACGGGUGAGUAACACGUGGGGAUCUGCCCAAUGGUACGGAAUAGCUCCGGGAAACUGGAAAUAAUACCGUAUGUACCCGCAAGGGGAAAGAUUUAUCGCCAUUGGAUGAACCCGCGUCGGAUUAGCUAGUUGGUGAGGUAAAGGCUCACCAAGGCGACGAUCCGUAGCUGGUCUGAGAGGAUGAUCAGCCACACUGGGACUGAGACACGGCCCAGACUCCUACGGGAGGCAGCAGUGGGGAAUAUUGGACAAUGGGCGCAAGCCUGAUCCAGCCAUGCCGCGUGAGCGAUGAAGGCCUUAGGGUUGUAAAGCUCUUUCGCCGACGAAGAUAAUGACGGUAGUCGGAGAAGAAGCCCCGGCUAACUUCGUGCCAGCCGCCGCGGUAACAC
rnacentral:rRNA from 1 species